rnacentral:rRNA from 1 species
CCUGACGCAGCGACGCCGCGUGUAGGACGAAGCACUUCGGUGUGUAACUACUGUCAGGGGUUAGGAAGAAAGUGACCAACCCCAAAGGAAGCCUCGGCUAACUCCGUGCCAGCAGCCGCGGUAAUACGGAGGAGGCAAGCGUUGUCCGGAUUCACUGGGCGUAAAGCGCGCGUAGGCGGCUUUGUAAGUCAUCUGUGAAAUCCCGGGGCUCAACUCCGGGGCUGCAGGUGAUACUGCAGAGCUAGAGCUCGGUAGAGGCAAGUGGAAUUCCCGGUGUAGCGGUGGAAUGCGUAGAUAUCGGGAGAACACCAGUGGCGAAAGCGGGGUACUGGGCUGAAUCUGACGCUGAGACACGAAAGCGUGGGGAGCAAACAGGAUUAGAUACCCUGGUAGUCCACGCUGUAAACGAUGCGCACUAGGUAUCAGUAGUUCUGACACUGUUGGUGCCGUAGCGAAAGCAUUAAGUGCGCCGCCUGGGGAGUACGGCCGCAAGGCUAAAACUCAAAGGAAUUGACGGGG